rnacentral:rRNA from 1 species
UGGGGAAUAUUGCGCAAUGGGCGAAAGCCUGACGCAGCGACGCCGCGUGAGGGACGAAGGCCUUCGGGUUGUAAACCUCUUUCAGUAGGGACGAAGCGAAAGUGACGGUACCUACAGAAGAAGCGCCGGCCAACUACGUGCCAGCAGCCGCGGUAAUACGUAGGGCGCAAGCGUUGUCCGGAAUUAUUGGGCGUAAAGAGCUCGUAGGCGGUCCGUCACGUCGGUUGUGAAAACCCAAGGCUCAACCUUGGGCCUGCAAUCGAUACGGGCGGACUUGAGUACUGCAGGGGAGACUGGAAUUCCUGGUGUAGCGGUGGAAUGCGCAGAUAUCAGGAGGAACACCGGUGGCGAAGGCGGGUCUCUGGGCAGUAACUGACGCUGAGGAGCGAAAGCGUGGGGAGCAAACAG